GUGAGGCUUCUCUUUGGCGGCGGGGAGGAGCCUUGCAGUGCAUGCACCUUCGGGGCUUUUGGUCAGCCGCGGACAUGCUCUGCCCAGAGUCCCUGGAUUCCUGCUUCCUCCCGGAGGCCUCGGGAUGAAAGCCGGAGCUCUGGCACCUCACAGCUCUAGGGAUGCUUUUUGUUCUCUCAGAGGCGUGACGGGCAGAGCGACUGUCAUCCAGAGGGAGGCUCAGAACGCUGGUCUGUAUUCUGCCAUGCAAGGAGGAAGCACAGCAAAUCAGCAGUGGUGCUGAGUGUGAAAAUCCUUCAGCUUUGUGAAGUUCAGCCCCAUCAUUUUUAGGCCCGCUAAGCGACAAGGCAUGUUUAGCCCACAUCGAGUGACCAGAAGAUACCUUUCCAGUCAAGUUGAGGAAUUCUAUAGACACACCAUUUCAGCUUCUGCCUGCCCUUUUGAGCUCAUGCCUGCAUAGAGGUCCGACCAGAAAAACAUCACUCAAACUCUGAUUUGCGUUGAAACCUCAGUGUUGUGUUGAAAAUGCCUCAGAACCCACCUGCACUCAUUCAGUGAUGAAUUUCUUGUAACCAGAGUUCUGCCUUGGUGUCUUUGGAAGUCAGAAGUGUAGCUGGCCCCUCCACUGCCCUGUGUUCAGAAACUCUGAUGUUGGAGUCAAGAUGGCAGCAACUGCCAUUCCUCUAAUAUAUGUUCAAUCAUCUCUGUAUCCAGUGUCUCCUGAGAAAGGACACAUGGGCAAAGAAGGGCUAACCAAUGAGUUCUUAACAAGCUUGUUACAGGAGUUGGUGUCCUUUGAAGAUGUGACUGUGCAGUUCACACAGGAGGAGUGGGAUUUGUUGGAUCCUUUACAAAGAACUCUGUAUAGGACAGUAAUGCUGGAAAACUGGAAGAACCUGGCCUCACUCGGGCAUCACCUUGAUAAACCAAAUCUGAUAUCCCAUUUGGAACAAGAAGACAGGGAUAUGAGAGAGGACAGAAGAAUUAUUCCAGGCAUCUGUCCAGAUUUGGAGACUGUACUUAAAGACAAAUGGCUAACUCCUAAGAAGCAUAUUUUUAGAAAAGAACAUGCUAAUGGUGGAAAAACAGUGAAACUAGAGAAAAGAGGUCAUCAUGGAAUGAAAAUCAAUGAAUGCAAUCAAUGUUUUAAAGUCUUCAGCACGAAAUCUAACCUUACUCAGCACAAGAGAAUUCAUACUGGAGAAAAACCCUACGAUUGUAGUCAGUGUGGAAAAUCCUUCCGCAGCAAAUCUUACCUUACCGUUCACAGAAGAAUCCAUAAUGGGGAGAAACCCUUUGAAUGCAGUCACUGUGGGAAAGCGUUCAGUGAUCCCUCAUCCCUCAGACUUCAUGUAAGAAUUCACACUGGAGAAAAGCCCUAUGAAUGCAACCAGUGUUUUCAUGUCUUUCGUACCAGUUGUAACCUCAAAAGUCAUAAGAGAAUUCACACGGAGGCUGAAAAUCACCAUGAGUGUACUCAGUGUGGAAAGGCCUUCAGUACAAGGUCCUCGCUCACUGGACAUAAUAGCAUUCAUACUGGAGAAAAACCAUUCGAGUGCCAGGAUUGUGGGAAAACCUUCAGGAAGAGCUCAUAUCUAGCCCAGCACUUAAGAACUCACACUGGAGAGAAGCCCUAUGAAUGUAAUGAGUGUGGGAAGUCGUUCAGCAGUAGCUUUUCUCUAACUGUACACAAGAGAAUACAUACUGGAGAGAAACCAUAUGAAUGCAGUCACUGUGGAAAAGCUUUUAAUAAUCUCUCAGCUGUAAAGAAGCACUUAAUGACUCAUACUAGGCAAAAGCCCUAUAGAUGUAACCAUUGUGGAAAAUCUUUCACCAGUAACUCUUACCUCUCCGUGCACAAAAGAAUACAUAACAGUAUCCAGUGUCCGUCGCUUUGUCCUGUGUAGAGCAACAAGAUGGCUCAGUGGGUGAAGGUGCUUGCUGCCAAACCUGAUCACCUCAGUUCAGUCCCCAGAACCCAUACAAUGAGUAGAGAAUGGACCGCCAGUUGUCCUCUGACAUCACACACAUGUCAGCCCAACAACAACAACAACAAAAUUGUUUUAAUCUGAGAAAAGGAUGCCCUAAAUGACAUUGGAAAAGGAAGCUAAUGAAACAAGAAACUCAUCAAACCUUCAGGACUCAAAAUGUUCAAGGGCCAUCCUCCAGGAUAUGAAUAGUAAAUAAUUACUGCUCAAGAGAAUGUUUGUGUGUAGAGUUUCCAAUAAAUUGAGAAGGGAGCCCCACGGAUACAGCUACAUUGUUGGGGUAGUGUUUUUUGGUGUUACAGAUGCCUUUGAGUCAUCCUUACUUCAGUAAGUAACCUUCAGGAAUUCAUUAGUUUGCCAAGCCAGGCUUGAUGAAGUUCUUUCCUUGAGCUGGCUCUGGUGCCCUAUUUUAUAUCUCCACCGACAGUCACACAACACAAACAGGGCACUCAUACAGGGACAGACACAACUAAAGAUGUCUUUGGGUGGAGGAGUAGCCACAUUAGCUCUGAAUGGGAUUUGAGAUGUACAGCUGAAGCUGAUCCUUGUGCAGGUGGAGUAUCCUUUUGGGCAGUCCUGAGAAGGGAAUCCCAUGUGGUAGGAGAUAGUAUGGCUCCUUGCUUUAGUGGUAGUUUUAUGCUGUCUGAUAUCGAUGAUAAGAUGUGCAACCAAGGCAGAACCAUCUGAAUAUGGAGUAUCUCCAGGGUAACUGAAUUUAAUUUCUGUGGCUGUGAUAAAACACAAAAAAAGCUACUUAGGGGAGGACAGGAUAUAUUUUAUCUUGCACUUCCAAGUCACAACCUGUUAUUGAGGGAAGUUAGGGUAAGAACUCUAAGCAGAAACCAUAGAGGAAUGCUUCUUGUUCACUUCCUGGUUCAACCAUAGGAUCAUGUUCAACUAGCUUACAUAACUAAGGACCACCUCCAUAUGUCCCACUCAGUAAGUAGGCCCUCCUCUGCCAAUUAAGACAUCUCCCAACAGGCCAAUUUGAUGUAGGCAAUUGCUCAAAUGAGGCUCUCAAGUCUGAUGACUUGAGUUUGUAAAGUUGACCGUUAAAGCUAAUUAGGACAGUCUUUCUCUUCCUGGGAUGAGGUGACAUACCUUAUUGGAGUCCACUACAAAAGCAUGGCUGUGCUAGUUAGUAAAAAUGCCAAUGGAUUUGAGAACAUAGAAUUCCCAGUAGUGGUACUCUGGGACUAUAUUGUAAGCAGCUUGUGACAGUUGUAUGCCCUUUUGUGUGGUUGAUGAGAUAUACCAGACUCCACUGUUGCCUGUAAAGAACUUGUACAUGUAAUGGGAAAAUUGCAAGGAGAAAAACAAUACUAUUCUUCAUACCAAGACAGUUUACACUGUCCA